GGUGAGAUGGCCGAGCGGUCCAAGGCGCCAGACUAAGGAUCUGGUCUCUUCGGGGGCGUGGGUUCGAAUCCCACUCUCAUCA
rfam:Jaapia argillacea MTCL 33604 unplaced genomic scaffold JAAARscaffold_2, whole genome shotgun sequence.